rnacentral:tRNA from 1 species
GGAAGGCUAUGGCUCAGUGACAGAGCACCAGCUUUUUAUGCAGAGGGUCCCAGGUUCAAUUCCCAGCACUGCCA